ACGGGUGAGUAACACGUAUCCAACCUGCCGUCUACUCUUGACAGCCUUCUGAAAGGAAAGAUUAAUACAAGAUGGCAUCAUGAGUCCACAUGUUCACAUGAUUAAAGGUAUUCCGGUAGACGAUGGGGAUGCGUUCCAUUAGAUAGUAGGCGGGGUAACGGCCCACCUAGUCUUCGAUGGAUAGGGGUUCUGAGAGGAAGGUCCCCCACAUUGGAACUGAGACACGGUCCAA
rnacentral:rRNA from 1 species